UCCUUAGAUGUUCUGGGCCGCACGCGUGCUACACUGAGUGGAUCAGCGGGUCAGGUUGCGCGAAAGUGUUUCCUAAUCUUUAAAUCCGCUCGUGAUGGGGAUUGACGGUUGCAAUUUUCCGUCAUGAACGAGGAAUACCUUGUAAGCGCGGGUCAUCAUCCCGCGCUGAAUACGUCCCUGCCCUUUGUACACACCGCCCGUCGCUCCUACCGAUUGAGUGGUCCGGUGAGGCUUUGGGAUCUGAGCGGAAAGAGCGUUUCGCUGUUUCUGCUCGGAAAACUCAGUCGAACCUUAUCAUUUAGAGGAAGGAGAAGUCGUAACA
rnacentral:rRNA from 1 species